rnacentral:rRNA from 1 species
AGCGUAGGCGGAUUUUUAAGUGAGAUGUGAAAUACUCGGGCUUAACCUGAGUGCUGCAUUUCAAACUGGAAGUCUAGAGUGCAGGAGAGGAGAAGGGAAUUCCUAGUGUAGCGGUGAAAUGCGUAGAGAUUAGGAAGAACACCAGUGGCGAAGGCGCUUCUCUGGACUGUAACUGACGCUGAGGCUCGAAAGCAUGGGUAGCAACA